CUACGUGCCAGCAGCCGCGGUAAUACGGAGGGUGCGAGCGUUAAUCGGAAUAACUGGGCGUAAAGGGCACGCAGGCGGUGACUUAAGUGAGGUGUGAAAGCCCCGGGCUUAACCUGGGAAUUGCAUUUCAUACUGGGUCGCUAGAGUACUUUAGGGAGGGGUAGAAUUCCACGUGUAGCGGUGAAAUGCGUAGAGAUGUGGAGGAAUACCGAAGGCGAAGGCAGCCCCUUGGGAAUGUACUGACGCUCAUGUGCGAAAGCGUGGGGAGCAAACAGGAUUAGAUACCCUGGUAGUCCACGCUGUAAACGAUGUCGAUUUGGGGGUUGAGCUUUGAGCUUGGCGCCCGUAGCUAACGUGAUAAAUCGACCGCCUGGGGAGUACGGCCGCAAGGUUAAAACUCAAAUGAAUUGACGGGGGCCCGCACAAGCGGUGGAGCAUGUGGUUUAAUUCGAUGCAACGCGAAGAACCUUAUCUACUCUUGACAUCCAGAGAACAUUC
rnacentral:rRNA from 1 species